rnacentral:rRNA from 1 species
GCUGGCGGCGUGCCUAUUACAUGCAAGUCGAGCGCGGGAAGCAAGCUGAUCCUCUUCGGAGGUGACGCUUGUGGAACGAGCGGCGGACGGGUGAGUAACACGUGGGCAACCUGCCUGUAAGACUGGGAUAACCCCGGGAAACCGGGGCUAAUACCGGAUAAUACUUUUCAUCACCUGAUGAGAAGUUGAAAGGUGGCUUUUAGCUACCACUUACAGAUGGGCCCGCGGCGCAUUAGCUACCUUGGUGAGGUAACGGCUCACCAAGGCAACGAUGCGUAGCCGACCUGAGAGGGUGAUCGGCCACACUGGGACUGAGACACGGCCCAGACUCCUACGGGAGGCAGCAGUAGGGAAUCUUCCGCAAUGGACGAAAGUCUGACGGAGCAACGCCGCGUGAGUGAUGAAGGUUUUCGGAUCGUAAAGCUCUGUUGUUAGGGAAGAACAAGUGCCGUUCGAAUAGGGCGGCACCUUGACGGUACCUAACCAGAAAGCCCCGGCUAACUACGUGCCAGCAGCCGCGGUAAUACGUAGGGGGC